rnacentral:lncRNA from 1 species
GGAUUAAUGUAUGUACAUGUAAUACAUCCCAUACAAUAUGAAAUGAAUUUUGUCAAUAUUUAAUUUCCAUGCCCAUUGUAUCAAUCUUGAGUGAUGAUAGUUCAUCAUUACUUUUAGUAAUAGAUUUCAAUGUGGAACCAUACAACUGGAUGUUAUGAAAACAUAUAUAGGUAUUUGUAGAAUACAUGAGUGCAUCUAUGAUUAAUAAUUGAAUACUCAUAAGUAGAGAAUAUAUCUCCC